UUGGAGGGCAGUCUGGUGCCAGCAGCCGCGGUAAUUCCAGCUCCAAUAGCGUAUAUUAAAGUUGUUGCAGUUAAAAAGCUCGUAGUUGAAUUUCGGGGUUAGUAGGUUGGUCAUGCCUCUGGUAUGUACUGAUCUCACUGAUUCCUCCCUCUUGACGAACUGUAAUGUCAUUAAUUUGGUGUUGCAGGAAAUCAGGACUGUUACUUUGAAAAAAUUAGAGUGUUUAAAGCAGGCUAAGGCUUGAAUACAUUAGCAUGGAAUAAUGAAAUAGGACGUUUGAACCUAUUUUGUUGGUUUCUAGGAUCGACGUAAUGAUUAAUAGGGAUAGUUGGGGGCAUUAGUAUUCAAUUGUCAGAGGUGAAAUUCUUGGAUUUAUUGAAGACUAACUACUGCGAAAGCAUUUGCCAAGGAUGUUUUCAUUAAUCAAGAACGAAAGUUAGGGGAUCGAAGACGAUCAGAUACCGUCGUAGUCUUAACCAUAAACUAUGCCGACUAGGGAUCGGAUGAUGUUAAUUUUUUAAUGACUCAUUCGGCGCCUUACGGG
rnacentral:rRNA from 1 species